AGUGAACGCUGGCGGUAGGCCUAACACAUGCAAGUCGAACGGCAGCACAGUAAGAGCUUGCUCUUACGGGUGGCGAGUGGCGGACGGGUGAGGAAUACAUCGGAAUCUACUUUUUCGUGGGGGAUAACGUAGGGAAACUUACGCUAAUACCGCAUACGACCUACGGGUGAAAGCAGGGGAUCUUCGGACCUUGCGCGAUUGAAUGAGCCGAUGUCGGAUUAGCUAGUUGGCGGGGUAAAGGCCCACCAAGGCGACGAUCCGUAGCUGGUCUGAGAGGAUGAUCAGCCACACUGGAACUGAGACACGGUCCAGACUCCUACGGGAGGCAGCAGUGGGGAAUAUUGGACAAUGGGCGCAAGCCUGAACCAGCCAUACCGCGUGGGUGAAGAAGGCCUUCGGGUUGUAAAGCCCUUUUGUUGGGAAAGAAAAGCAGCAGGUUAAUACCCCGCUGUUCUGACGGUACCCAAAGAAUAAGCACCGGCUAACUUCGG
rnacentral:rRNA from 1 species